rnacentral:tRNA from 1 species
GCCGAAGUGGCGGAACUGGUAGACGCGCUAGGUUCAGGGCCUAGUAGCUGUAUGGCUGUGCGAGUUCGAGUCUCGCCUUCGGCACCA